rnacentral:rRNA from 1 species
GACAGAUGGGGCGAGCGUUGUCCGGAGUCACUGGGCGUAAAGCGCGCGCAGGCGGACGCGAAAGUGUCGUGUGAAAGCCCCCGGCUCAACCGGGGGAGGCCAUGGCAAACUCCGCGACUGGAGCGGCGGAGAGGCCCCCCGAAUUGCCGGUGUAGAGGUGAAAUGCGUAGAGAUCCGCAGGAAGACCAAGGGGGAAGCCAGGGGGCUGGCCGCUGGCUGACGCUGAGGCGCGACAGCGUGGGGAGCGAACCGG